rnacentral:rRNA from 1 species
GACGUAGGGGGCCAGCGUUGCUCGGAAUUACUGGGUGUAAAGGGUUCGUAGGCGGUGUGGCAAGUCGGGAGUGAAAUCUCUGAGCUUAACUCAGGGGCUGCUUCCGAAACUGCCGUGCUAGAGUGUGGGAGAGGCGCGUGGAAUUGCAGGUGUAGCGGUGAAAUGCGUAGAUAUCUGCAGGAACACCCGUGGCGAAAGCGGCGCGCUGGACCACUACUGACGCUGAGGAACGAAAGCUAGGGGAG